rnacentral:tRNA from 1 species
GCCGCGGUAGCUCAAUUGGUAGAGCAUCUCACGUGAAAUGCGAAGGUUGUGGGUUCGGUUCCCACCUGCGGCA